rnacentral:rRNA from 1 species
GCGCCAGCGAUGGCCGCUUGCGAGGUGCUGCAUGGUUGUCGUCAGCUCGUGCCGUGAGGUGUCGGGUUAAGGUCCCAUAACGAGCGCAACCCCUACCUGCUAGUUGCCAGCGGGUCAUGCCGGGGACUCUAGCGGAACUGCCAGCGUAAGCUGCGAGGAAGGUGGGGAUGACGUCAAAUCAGCACGGCCCUUACGUCCAGGGCUACACACGUGUUACAAUGGCCAGUACAGAGGGCAGCCACCCCGCGAGGGGGCGCUAAUCCUAAAAGCUGGUCCCAGUUCGGAUCGGAGUCUGCAACCCGACUCCGUGAAGCUGGAUUCGCUAGUAAUCGCGCAUCAGCCACGGCGCGGUGAAUACGUUCCCGGGCCUU